GCCUCCGUAGCUCAGCGGACCAGAGCGCCCGCCUCCGGAGCGGGAGGACGCAGGUUCAAUUCCUGCCGGGGGUG
rnacentral:tRNA from 1 species